rnacentral:miRNA from 1 species
AACCUCAUCAACCGGAAGGGAUUCCUUCUGGUCGAUGGGGUUGUUGUACCUCAUCGAUCUGAAGGAAAUCCUUCCGAUCAAUGAGGUAUAACAACCUCAUUGACCGGAAAGGAUUCCUUCCGGUUGGUGAGGCC